UCCGAAAGACCCCCGGCUCAAGUCACGAGAUAUCACACAAACACAUAGUACAGCACAGAAGCAGAUGACAUAACAUAGAUACGGCACCCAUAGGGAAUAUAAAACAGAGUAAAGCAGGAUUGCAGGAAUAUAAAGCAGAGGAAAGCACCCAGAUUCGUAAUAGACAUGGAACACGGAACACGAAAUACUGAAUACAGAAUCAUAACAGGAAUACACCCCACCAAUUAAUUCCCUACAUCCUCGGUGAGCUGUAACUGUUCCAUGUCCCGCCUAAUCACCUCACCCCAGUACUUCUUCGGUCUACCCCUACCCCGUCUAAAACCAUCCAACGCUCGCCUCUCACACCUACGGACCGGGGCACCCCUGCCCCUCCUCUUCACGUGUCCGACCCAUCUCAAUCGUGCUUCCCGCAUCUUACACUCCACUGAAGUCACACCAACCUUCUCCCGGAUAGUCUCAUUCCGAACUCUAUCCCCUCGGGUCAUCUCACACAUCCAGCGCAACAUCCACAUUUUUGCCACCUUUAUUUUUUGGAUGUGGGAGUUCUUAACUGGCCAACACUCCGCUCCAUACAGCAAGGCCGGACGGACUACCACCCUAUAGAAUUUGCCUUUAAGCUUGGGCGGCACCUUCUUAUCACACAGCACCCCCGAUGCGAGUUUCCACUUCAUCCAUCCCGCCCCAAUACGGUGCGAGACAUCCUCGUCAAUCUCACCGUUACUCUGGAUCACGGACCCGAGAUACUUGAACUUAUCCCUCUUCCCUACCUCCUGUGCUUCUAGCCUCACUACUACCUCAUUCUCCCGCCUCACGUCAUUAAACUUACAUUCCACAUACUCUGUCUUGGUUCUGCUCACCCUGAACCCUUUAGACUCCAGAGUUUGCCUCCACAACUCUAAUUUGUCAUUCACACCCCCUCGAGUCUCAUCUAUCAGGACUACAUCGUCUGCAAAAAGCAUACACCACGGCACCUCCCCUUGGAUACGCCGCGUCAACACAUCCAUUACUAACGCAAACAAAAAGGGACUAAGAGUAGAUCCCUGAUGCAAUCCUGUCAGGACAGUGAAAUGCUCUGAGUCUCCUCCCGCCGUCCUCACCUGGGUUUUCGCUCCCUCAUACAUAUCCUUAAUUACUCUGAUAUAUGCCUGCGGUACUCCACUCACCUCCAAGCAUCUCCAAAGCACUUCCCUGGGGACUUUGUCGUACGCCUUUUCCAGGUCGAUGAACACCAUGUGCAGAUCCUUCUUCCUCUCCCUAUACUGCUCCACCAACCUCCGUACCAGGUGGAUUGCCUCCGUCGUCGAGCGGCCGGGCAUAAAUCCGAACUGGUUUUCCGAAAUAGACACUAUCCGUCUCAGCCUCACCUCGACCACUCUCUCCCAUAUCUUCAUAGAGUGACUCAGUAACUUAAUCCCCCUAUAGUUAUUGCAACACUGAAUGUCCCCCUUAUUCUUAUAGAGGGGGAUCAUGGUACUCCACCUCCACGCCUCGGGCAUCUUUGCCGUCCUGAAAAUUUCAUUGAACAAUGCAGUCAACCACCUUACACCAGCCUCUCCAACGAACUUCCAAAACUCCACCGGUAUCUCAUCCGGCCCCGUCGCCCUACCCCUUCGCAUCCUGCGGACUGCCUGUCUAACCUCGUCUACCUUAAAACGUCUACAAUAGCUAAAAUCCCGACACUCCCCUGAGUGCUCCAGUUCCCCUAACACAAUAGCUCUGUCCCCCUCGUCAUUCAAGAGCCUAUGAAAGUACGACUGCCAUCUCUUCUUUAUGUGGCCGUCCUCCACCAACACUCUACCGUCCUCCCCCUUAAUGCACCGCACCUGAUCGAGGUCACGACCCUUCCUCUCCCUAGCCUUAGCGAGUCGGAACAACUUUUUCUCCCCUCCUUUCCCCUGUAACCCUGCAUACAAGCUCUCAAAAGCAGCCGUCUUAGCUGCCGUGACCGCUGACUUCGCCUCCUUCCUCGCUAGCUUGUACUCUUUCCUGUUUACCCGCUUCUCCUCUUCGUCCUUACUUUCCACCAACUUAGCAUACGACUCUUUCUUGGUCUCCACUUUCUUCCCCACCUCUUCAUUCCACCACCAAUCCCCCCGAUGAUGUCCGGCCCGGCCCCUAGAAACACCCAACACCUCCCUUGCAUUUUCCCUGAUGCACGCUGCCGCCCUGUCCCACAUAUUAUCCACGUCCCCCCUACACUCCCACACCCCCAUUCCCGCCAACCUCUCCCCUAUCUCCCACGCAUUCACACCCAACACCUCCCUUGCAUUCUCCCUGAUGCACGUUGCCGCCCUGUCCCACAUAUUAUCCACGUCCCCCCUACACUCCCACACCCCCAUUCCCGCCAACCUCUCCCCUAUCUCCCACGCAUUCACUGGCGUCAAGCCGCCCCACUUAAUUCUCGGUCUACACUCCUUACUCCUCCUCUUUCUAUUCUUCUUUAUACCCAAAUCCAUAAAAUAGCAGUAAAAGGAAAAGAUUGACUUCUCUCUCGUUGGGAUGUCAAGAGAGCUGCCAGAAGAUAUAUUUUUUGAGAAAAUUGCAGUAAACUAAAGAAAAGAAAAACACAAAUAUUUUUCUUGUGUGUUUAUUUGAAAGGAAAGAGGUUUAACUCAUCAGACAGAUCUGAAAGAGUAUUCAUAACACAAACUUGGUUCAAGAUUUUGUACACAACCAGAAAGUCAGUCAACAUAAAAUGUGGGUUAAAAUUAUACUUGGAAUCCGUUAACUCAAAUACUCAAGCAAAAUAAAGGAGAAAAUAUAGUAUCUUCAGAGUUCAGGCAGUAUUAUAUUUGACAACCCAACAGUGUGAAAUCAGAAUUGUCAGGACCCAGAGGUUAAGCCUUCUAAUUUUAAGUCAAUGUAACAGACUAAAAGGAGAGUUGUUGGACAGGCUGCCAACAGAACAAUAGUUUCAUAACAUGUCAGUACUCUAUCAACAGCACAAACAAAUUGAUUAGAGACCCUGAACUUUGAACUUUUCUCUUAUCCUCCAUCCCAACUAUCAUUCCACCAAAACGUGUUCAAUCAGCACACUACCAACAUUGAGUAGUAGUUAAAGCAGGUAUUCAACAUGGUAUCUUUAAAUUGGAGAACUUUCCAGACAAAAGGACUUUCUUGUCCUUCUUCCACAAGUAAACAAUUCAUGAAAAUAAAUUACUCCAAAAAAAAUCAAUCAAGUCACACAAAUAUGGUUCGUCAUAAGAAAGUUAUAGCUCAAUUUUAUGUUGUUUAAUAGCACUAAUCAUAGGUAACUGCUAAGCUUCACACAGGUCAUCCAAAGCAAUAUGCUUUAAUAGUUUGAAGAUCAUGUAAAAAUCAUCAGAAACAAUUAUCAAAUCAAGUUGUCUAAUAGCACUUAGCUUACAAGCGUUGCUUCAUACAUUAUCGGUCAGUGCAAUAAUCCUGAUGUUAUGGAGAUAGUUAGAAAUUUUCAAAGCUAGUAGUGCAUCACGAAUGAGAGAUAUGAGACUUUCAUGUAAUACAAGUUUCAGAGCUCUAAGCUUUAUGUUCUAAACUCCUCUUGGGAAAAUAAAUCACAAGGUAGUUGCACAGAGAAAGAUUCAGUGGACGUGUUUAACUAGGCAUAUUCUCAUAUAUUGAUGUAAAGCAACUUUAUUGCCCAAGACUUCAAGGGCUAUGUGGAUCAUUAGAAGUUGCUACUGCUAGGUCUGAGUAACAAAGGUAGCACGACUACUUCCGUACUGCAGUCAGAGUUCAUAUCAUGUUUUAAAUACUCAACAAUUCAAACGUUGAGUAGCUAGCAAAGUGCAUGUUCUUAUCUAAAAAAUAAUGAUAUGUAACAGUAAACAAACCGAGGAUGCUUAGAUAACUAUCUAGCAUGUCAUCUCAGAAUCAAGUGCGAAAUUGAGCAAUACCGAAAAGACAAAAGCUUCCCCCAGAAGGUCAACAGCAGCUUGAACAGCUUUCUCCUCAUCCAAAGGCCGUAUUUCCACACUGGUUGCAUGACCAUAUAACCGUCUUUGCAUUUGUGUUGUCACCCGGUGGUUAGCCUGGUUAAACGAAUAGAUGUGUUCUCAGAGAUGAAAUUUGAAAUGCAAACUGAAUUCAAAAGAUUAAUGUAUAAUGAAGGAAAAAGUUUCUAAAAGAUGAAUAUUUGCAUCUACAAGAAAGACAUAAAUAGCUGAUAUAAUGUACUGAAACGUAACGAAAUGCACAGAGGAACGCAAAAGCAAUUCUUGCAUUAUUAAGAGAUUAGAAGAACAAGAAAGCAAGAAAAACGCAUAGACUUAUUGAAAGUAAAGAAUCGCAUGGAACAGUCGGCUAUUUAGAGAUGACAAGCAUUUUGCCCCAUAGUCAAAAUGCACAAAAAUCCUCAACCGGAGCAAAAGCCCCUACUAACAAGAAAUGUAAGAUGCAACCAUUAGAAUCAUCCAACCACAUAAGUGAAUCUGACUGGUCCCUCAGUUCAGAAUCUACAAAAGUUAAAGAACAAAGUGCAAUAAUGAUAAUCAGUCUGCCAUGUCAAAUAAUUUGGCAUCUGAUAAUGGUUUCAUUGCAGCAAACUGUUAUAUCAGUUCAAAUAGCCCCAGUUAGAUUCUUAUAAUGUGAUAAACUACAAGCAGCACAAACCUUAUGCUGAAAGGACUAAGAGCUCUUACUAGGAAUUGAAUCUAUGCUCUAUAUGGUCACCAAUUCUACACCAAAUAUCUAGUUCUCAUACACAAAAAUUUAGAAACUUUGAUAGUUUUAAUUCCUAGCCAAAUUAUUCUUUUCAGGAUGGAGGGGGCAAUAGAAAUGCACAAUUAAGGCCCUCUUCAUUCUAAUUAAAAGGCAUCCUGUGCACUAAAACUCUCGCUACGCAUAGAGUCCUUGGAAGAGCCAACCACAAGGAUCUAUUGUAUGCGGCAUUACUUUACAUUUCCGCUAGAGGCUGUUUCGACGAUUUCAUUCUAAAAGGAGAUUAGGAUCAAAAGAUUUCAAAUUUAUACCUAUAUAAUCACCAAUUUGAACCAAAAUAAUUAGAUAUUAUCAUUUCCAAGAAAAUGGGGGAUUAUUACCUGGGCGAUGCUGACUAUGAAAUUACGGAACUUGGGAUGCAACCCAGCUUGUUGCUUGAGCCUACUGGCAAUUGGUUUGCUCAGUGUUUUCAAUGCAAGUGUCCCAAGCUUCAAUACUGGCAGCACCAUUAUUUCUCGAUCUGACUAUUUCUAUAAAGGGAAAUCAAUCAAACCUUAAAGAGGAUUGUAUGCGUAAGGACGUUCCAUUUACUGUGUAUUUCUGUAAGUACUUAUAGCUAAGCUAAGUAUUCGUGAAGAGAUUGUCUGCUGAAAUGAAAAUUUGGCCAGUUGAGAAUGGUUGAUUUCUUGAGGUAUAAGCUAAAAUGCGUGUGGGGUUAAGGGGAAAGUUGGAAUGCGUGCGUGAAGGCAAUGUGAUGAAAUAGAAAAUGCCUAUAAAAUUGUGAACAUGUUUGUUGGUUGACUUGUCUCAAUUGGUGGACGGCUGAAAAAUCGAAAUCAGGGAUCUUACAGUGUUUGGAAAUGAUGAAUUGAGAAGAUAGGGUCCAGUGCACUAAAUCUACCCUUACCCUUGUGUGUUUGAGAAAGGAUCCAAUUACAAGGAUUUAUCGUACAUAGUCUUACCUUAUAUUUCUACCAGAGACUUUUUCUAAGGUUAGAACUCGUGAUCUCCUGACCGCAUGAUCAAAAUUCUCUCAUAUGUUAUGCAAAUGAAUACACCCUCUCUUUGAAUUGGUAUACGUACUCAUGCGAUAUACGAAAUUAAGUAUCAUUUUUAAUUAUUUUAUAAUGAGAUACUAUCUUUUUAGAGCAUGUUAUAUCAUGUUAUCUUAAAAAAACUUAACUAUUAUUUCUCAAUGAUAUGUGAAAAAAAAUAAAAUUGUAACCCUUCCCCCACCUCCCACCUCCAUCUCCGCACUCCCUCCCUCCUCCUCUCAAUUUAUUUUCAAAAAAGAUUAAACCAUCCCUUCAUUAAUUUUCUCACCUUUAAUCAAAUCUAUACAAAAAAAAAAUAAUUAUGUAAUUGUAAAAAAAAAACAAGAGAUUUAUAUUUCGUAUUUUUAAAAUUAUAUUAUUUGUAAUUUAAAGAUAUCCUCCACCUUCAUCCACCUCCAUUCCCACUUCUAACCAAAUCUAUGUGAGAAAAAAUAAUCAUGUAAUUGUGAAAAAACUUUUAUGAUUUAUAUUUUCCUUUAUUGUAUUAUUUAUAAUUUAAAGAUUUCAAAUUCAUAAUACUAAUUGUUUUAACUUUUAAACUGCUAUUUUUUCUCCAUCUCUUUUGUUUAAAUUUAUCGAUAACAAUAUACGUAUUAUCUAAUUACUUCAUUGGGAACAAUAACAACAUACUAAGUAUAUCUAAUUAUUUCAUUAUAUUAUCAAAACUAAUUCAAAUUCUCCCUAUCUAUCUACAGUGUACAUAUUUUUCUACUAUUUCUUAAAUUACUUAAUUAAUUCAAAUUCCCUAGCCUAUUCUCAAUGUGUAUUUUUUCGUACUAUAUUUUUAUUAAUUUAUUUUUCUCUAAUUUAGCUUUAAAUUAAUGUUUUAAGUGUGUUACAUGCAUUAGUAGUUAAGUUUUCUUAUCUCUUAUCUCAAAAUAUAAAAAUUAGAAUAGAUAAGUUUCGUUAUGCAUAACAAAUAAAGAAUAUGAAAAAUACAAUAAAUAUAUUCGCAGAUAAGCUAAUGAAUAAUAACCUCAAAAAAGUAAAAGCUUCACAUUAUUUAUCACUGUAACAUGUAGUAGUAUAUAUAGGAAAGCUGGAGAAGUUAUAAUUUCAUUUCAAUUCAAAUUCUGUUUAAAUUAAAAUUAAAUAUCAUCUCAAUUUCUUUCUUAUACUUAAUUUUUUAAAUACAAUGUGUAUUUAUCCGAUAAUUUACAAAUUUGAAUUAAGAGAAAAUUUUGAAAUCAAUUCAAAUAUUUUUAAUAUUAUCAUUACUAUUUUAAAAAUUAUUAUUAUUGUUACUAUUACUAUCCAUACUAUUUUUUUUGUUGUUGUUGUUUAAAUACUACCAUAGUACGUAAUACUUUUACUAUUUCAUAUAACAUUUAAUCUAAUGUAUUAAAAUAUACAUAUAUUACUACUGUCACUACUACUGCUAUUAGUAUAUACGUACUACUACUAUUUAAUAGUAUUAUUAUUAUUUUAUUAUUAUUAUUAUUGACUAUUACUCCUAACACCAUGCAUGUACUGCUAUUGUUACUACUACUGCUAUUUAUUAAUACAUCAUUAUUAUAAAUUAUAAUUAUAAAAUAGUUAGAGUUUAUUUAGAACUCUUUGACUAUAGAUUUCUAGUUUAGAGCUAAUGAGAAUCUUUUAUUUUUCUUCAAAAUGCCUAACGUUUUAAAAUUUAAAUAUUUUUUAUAUUUUAAUUUAAAAUUUUUAUUACAAUAUUAUUAAUUUUGUCCUACAGCUGCCACGUGGCUUCUCAUAUUGUUACAAAAUAUAAUCAAGUCAAGAAAAGAAUAACUCAAUUAAAAAUAUAAAUGUUUGCAAGUUUAUUUUAUAAUCUUUUUAAAACAGAGCAAAUAUGUGAAAUGUGAUAUAGAAUGCUCCAAAUAAAUUUAUUUUUAUUCAAGAGAAAAAUAAUAAAAUAAAAAAUGUGAUACAUACAUACAUACAUAUAUAUAUAUAUACAUAUACAUACAUAUAUAUAUANNNNNNNNNNNNNNNNNNNNNNNNNNNNNNNNNNNNNNNNNNNNCAUGAGCCACUAGACACUAUGUAUCUACUGCACGUAUUUAAUGCAUAUAUAUACUUAUGUUUAUAAUAUAUGUACAUAUAGAUGUUUUAUCCACAUAGUGAAUAAUUCGGGAAUUAAAUAAAAAAGGCCCUUUUAACUCAGUGGUAGAGUAACGCCAUGGUAAGGCGUAAGUCAUCGGUUCAAAUUCGAUAAGGGGCUUUGUAAAACUCCAAUCUAGUAUUCAUAUUUAAGGGGAGAAUUGUAUUUUGAUUUGUAAUAAAAAAAGUAACUAACUGGAUAAUACAUUAUAUAUAUAUAUAUAUAUAUAUAUAUAUAAAUAAACAAAAAAUAAACAUCAAUAGUAGAUGAAGCUUUGAAUUAUUGGCAUGCAAUCUCACUUAUGACAUAUUAGUUAAUGAUUCACUUCAAGGACAACAACAAAGUAGAAAAGCCUAAAAACUAUGAAUAGAAAGCAAUAAUAGACACCAAAACGGGUAGUACUUUUGAGGAAGCAACCCAAAACGCUUUUUUAGAAGCACUCUUUGCCUUAAAAAUUUAUCAUCAUGCAAAAAAUAGAUAAUUUAUCAUCAAACAGAAAAUAGUUUGGAUGAGCAAAUUGUGUGAAUAAAAUUAGUGGUGACUCUUUCUUAGCGGUAUAAACUUUAUUGUAACUUUCGUUGAUGUAAAACUGGAGAUACAUCUUCUUUAAUGUUUCACAUAAGCUACUUCAUUGUUUUUGCUUUUUAUUGGAGGAGCUAACAAUUAUUUUCUUUAUAUAUUUCGAUUCUUCAUUAUAUUUGUUCAUUUUUUAAAUAUUCAUUUCACAUUUUUUGUAGUGUCUACACACAUUAGGGGUGUGUUUGGUAUGAAGGAAAAUGUUUUCCUGGAAAACAAGUUGAUUUCUUACUUGUUUUCCUAUAUUUGGUUGGUGGAUAGAAAAUAUUUUCCGGAAAAUAUUUUGUAAUGUUUGGUUGGAAAAUGAAAAAAUAAAAAUAAUUUUCAAAAAAUACAUUUUAAUCUUUAGCUAAAGCAUAAAAAUACAUUUUAGAAAAAUAUUUUUUGAUCUCAAAAAAUAUUUUUCGGGGUGUGUUCGAUAUGAAGGAGGAGAAAUAUUUUCUAAAAAAAUAAGUUGUUUCUUACUUAUAUUUAGGGGUGAGCAUUUAGCUUGUUCGGUUUGAUUGUUGAAUAUCGGUACGGUUUUUUGGUUUUCGAAUUGACGAAAAUAACAAUCAUAAUCAAACCAAAAUUAUUUCGAUUUGGUUCGAUUUUUACAGAUUUGUUUCGGUUAUUUCGUAUUUUUAUUUCGAUUUUGAAGAUUAAAGUAGUGACCAUUUAAAAUUGGUGAUUUUUCUAGAAAAAUAAUCUUUUUUCAAACUUAUUUUCAUUCUCAAAUAUAAUUAAUUCAACACGAAUGAAAUAAUCAUAAAUAUCGACUUCGCCGAGUCAUCACCGUUGGCGUGACGAGAAUGGCCGCACGCGGCAGCGAUUGUUGACGAAAUGAAGAACUGAGCAAACAAACUGAGCAAAAGACUGCAACUGUCGUUGGCGAUGUUGAAAUUUCAAAUAAACUGAGGAUGGAUGAGCGUUAUUGCAGCCUUCACGUUACUAUUACGGUCAAAAGCAAAACAACAUAUUAGGAUUUAGGUUUACUAAAUGAUUAUAAUUUAUAUAUUUAUAUGUUAUAUUAGAUUAUAUUAUAUUUUUAGUAAAUUUACAUAUAAUAUGAAAUAUAUAUAUAUAUAUAAUUAUAAUAUAUUAUUUAUAUAAUUUUGAUUUUUCGGUUUAUCCAAUUUUUUUUUAAAUUUCGAAAACCAAACCGUUUAACCAAAUUUCUAAAAUUUGAAACCAAAACCAAUCCGGAAAAUUGAAAAACCAAACCAAAAUUAAAUUUUGAUUCAGCUUUUUGGGGUUGGGGGUUGGGGUGGGAGAUUGAGGGUCGGAGUAGGGAUGGGUGAUUUUGAAAGUUGUAUGAAUAUUUCAAUUUAAUAGUGAUGUUGAAAGAGAGUUUUGAAAAAUGUUUUUCUUACUUUUUGAAGGGAAGUCAUUUUCCUUAGUUUUAAGAAAAAUGAGUUGAUUUGGAAAAUAUUUUCCAAAACCUGUAAGCCAACCAAACAGGAGAAAAUUGAAAAACAUUUUCCAGAAAAUGUUUUCCUUCAUACCAAACACACCCUAAAUCACUAUCAGUGAAAACUUCAAUUUCUUUAGUUAUACUUAUAAUAAAAAAUCAAUUAAUAAGUCAAAUCAAGUUUAAACAACAUACCUUGAUAAUUGUUUUGAAAAAAUCUCAUAUGCAUGAUCAAUAGCCCUUUUGUCCAUGAUAGAUAUUUUAUAUAACAAAAAGUAACGCAAACUGUUACAAAUAAUAAUAAAAUAAUCUAAAGUUAAGCUUUAAAUAGUAUAUAAAUUUUGUACUGAUCUAUUAAUGUAAGCAUAUUGUCAAACACGAAUGUGGCAUACACAAUAAAUGAAUUUGAUUGAAUAAUUAAAGAAUAAGUUUAAAAGAAUUUAAAUAAUGAAAUGAGAAGUUUAAUUAUUUUAGAAAAAAGCAUGAAGAACUUGAAGAGGUAUCAUCAACUCGAUAACCUCAUUGCCUAAUUAAUUCAUAAUUCUAUAAACAUUUCUUCAUAUUUUCAAUAAAAAAAUACACCAAAGACUUAUGGAGUAUAUUAUAUAUAGAAUGCUACAAAUAAAAAAUAUACAAAAAAUGUAUGCGUGGAGCAGUACAUGAUUGUGUCUUUGAUGCUAACAUUCUAUCUACAAUUUUUGAUUUUUUGAAAUUUGCCUGAGAGUAUCUUCAUGCAGAAGCCACACAUAUCUUGACCUUCGGCCUUGCGCCUUAAGAACUGAUUAGGGGAUUCAAGAAUAAUAAUUGAGCAAGCACUGGUAAUUAUGCUCUAGCAGUAGUAUCUCUAUGUGGCUCCCCAACAAGCAACCUAUAAAGAAGGUGGCAUUAUUUUCUUAUGUGAAGUUUAAUUGAAAAUUUAGUUUAUAUAAAAAGAGUUGAGUCAAAUUCAAUUUUAUCUAGUAUAAAGUUUGUUUUCAAUUCAAAAUCUAAAAGAAUCCUUACUUUCAUUUGAAACUUGAAAUUUGAAAUUCAAAAUUCAAAAAAUUAACUCCAAUUCAACAAACAAAUUUCAGCAAACUUUAUAUUUAUCUAAAGACAAAUUUAAAUAAUUCAUAUAUCUCUGAAUAUAACCUUAAUCCUUUUAAAGUUUCAAUAUAAAACUUUAAAAAAUAUUACAAAAAAUUUCAAACUAAAUAUUCUUUUAGCAAACAUUAUUUGUAUCUGUAAACUAGUUAAAAUAAACUUUAUAUUUUUAUAGAUUCAAUUUAAAACUAUAGAAAAUGUAGAAUACUCUCAAAAGAAGUCAUCCCUCAAAAUAUGUAUUGGUUUAUGUUUCAAAUUUUAUUUUUUAUCUUUAAAUUUAAAUGAAUAGUAUAAUAAUUUUAAAUAUAUUUAUAUUUAGUUACUUUUAAUUAUUUUACCAUUUAAAUUUCUAUGCUUCAGAUAAAUAGAUAAGUUACGUAAUAAAAAACACUUAUAACAAUAAUGUAGUAAUUCCUAUUUUCUUUCUUGAAUUGUCUCAAUAUCACCAAAUGAACAAUUUUUUCUUUCAAAAUGCCUAAAAAUAAAAAAAUUUAAACUCAAAUAAGUUCACAUCCAUAAAAAUGCUUAUCUGGACAAUUGCAGACAUUUUAAAUUUGAAUUUGAAUUAUUUAUCUUUCAAUUAUAAAUAUUUAAAAUGAAUGAGAUGAUAUAAUAGUUUUUUAAUCAUUACCAUAACCACGUAUAAACUACUACAUUAAAAUCAAAUUAUAUUAUUAUCUAUUUAUAAAUCAUUAUGGUUAUGAAAUAGUUAGAGUUUAUCUAAAACUCUUCAACUAUCAACUAUGAUUCUAGUUUUAAGCUAAUAAUUUUUCUUUUCUAUCUAACAACCUAUUCAAAUAUUUUUAAUCUUUUAAUUCAAACUUUUAUUAUAGUAUUAUUAGCUUUGUCCUAAAUAUAUACACUUGACAAAAUUUUACGCUGUCACUUGGUUUAUUAUGAUGCUUCGUCCUCUACUUUAUAAUAUAUAUAGAUGACCUAGACUUGACACGAAAUUUAAGAAAAUAAAGAAAAUUUUUGAAUCUUAUAGUUAUAAAUUAAAAUUAUGUUAAAUAUAUCAAAAUAUCCUUUAAUUUUGUGUUCUUUAAUAUGUCAUGUGGAAAGUUAAAUUUAAAAAUAUUGCCAAAAAAGAAGAAUCAUUCUUUUUGAAAAAGACGAAAAAACUAGGUCAUUUUUUUAAAACAGAGAAAGUAUAUAAUUUGAUUUUUUAAGUUGUAUUUAAAAAAAAAUGAAAUUCGAUAAUUUGAACUUUUGAAAAAAAAAAUCAAUGUAAUUUUUUCAAAUAAGCAAAUUAUAGUUUAUAAAUAAAGUAUUGAAACACCAAAUGUAUUAAUAAAUAAGAAAAAUGGUCAAAAAUAUCUCUCUACUUUAAUUUAUUAGCUAGAUUUAUCCUUAGUUAUACUUUAGGGCUAAAUAUGUCCUUACUAUUAGUAAACUUAACAAAAAUAUCUCUAUAUUUAACACCCUUCCACAUGGCUUAACAUUUAGGUGAGGUGGACGCCAUGUGGCGUGCCACUUCAUCAUUUGAUUUUUAUUUCCUUAAUAUUCUUUUUUCAUUUUUCAUUUUUUUCUUUAUCUAUUUACAAGGUCUCAAAUAAAAAAAUAAAAAAUUAUUUCUUCUUCAUUUUUCUCUCCUCAAAUUUCAAGAAUUUGGAUUCCAUUUGAUUUCUAAAGCUUUUCAAAUUUGUUUUCACUAUUUUUUUUGACUGAAACUUCUACAGUAAAUAUUAUUAGAUUAAUAACUCAAAGUAUAUUUCAUAAUCGUUUAGUUCAAAUUUAUUUGAUUUGAAUUUAAAUUUGUUAGUAGCAGUUGUUUAAAGCUGAAAAAUAAUGAUUAUCCAUUAAUUUGGAAGAAAAAAAAUUCGGAAGAGCCAUUGUUGGAGUCGAAGCUCGAGAUAAAAAAAAAAUUGUGGCUUCAAUUUUCAAGUUUGAAUCUGUUUGUUAAUGUGGGUUGUUUGUGAUGGUUGAAAAUCCUCUAUUCGAGUAAGGUGAAAAAGAAGAUAAAAAAUGCCUUGGCAACCAUUAUUGAAACUUUAAAACGAUAAUUUUCUGCAAAUUCUACCAAUCUUGUUCAUUUAUUUUCUUAGUUUCAUAAUCCAUUAUUUUCAAUAAUGCAGAUGUAUUUUCGUACUUAAUUUCUUGAGAUUUGAGGAGAGAAAGAUAAAGACGAAGAAUAAAAAUUUAUAUUUGUAUUUGGGACUUUGUAAAUGGAUAAAGAGAAAACGAAAAAGAAAAGAGAAAAAAAAAUCAAAAUGAAAAAAGCAUAUUAAGAAAAUAAAAAUCAGAUGAUGAAGUGACAUACCACAUGACGUCCACCUCACCCAAAUAUUAAGUCAUGUGGAAGAGUAUUAAAUAUAGAGGUAUUUUUAUUAAGUUUACUAACAGUAAAGACAUAUUUAGUCCUAAAGUAUGAUUAAGGUUAAAUCUAACUAAUAAAUUAAAGUAGAGGGGUAUUUUGACCCUUUUCCUUAAUAAAUAACAUAUGUUCAUGUUUCCUUUAUAAACUGGAAAAAAAAAAAAAAAGGUGUAUCAUCAAAGAGAAGCAUGAGACUAUUUUAAAAUACAUAGAUAGACUUUUGAACUUUUUGAUUUUUUUUUUUAUAUUGGCAGCUCAAUUAGAUCAUGUAUCUUUUGAAUUCUUUUAUCAUUCACAAAACAUGUCAAUUAAGCACAAAUUGCACAAUUUCAAAUUAAAUUUGACGCGUGAAAUUCACUUGCCAUGACAUGAAAAUUACAAGCAAUGAUAAAAUUACAUGUCAUCAAAGAAAAAAAAUUUUAAAAUGUAAUUUAAAAAAAAAUAAAAAUUUCAUCUUUCUUACUUCUUCUUCCUCUAUUCUUCCAUCAUUAAAUCUCACUUUCAAUCUUUCAUUUUCCCACCAAAACAACACCCAACAACCAUUAAAGAAAGAAAAAGAAUAACAAUACAACACACACUCAUAUACAACAAGCAACAAUAAUAAUUUUUUUAAAAAAAAUUAUUUUUUUGCCUUCUUUUUCCUCUAGUCUUCCACCAUUAAAAUUCACCUUCAUUCCUCUACUUUCCACCAAAAUAAACAAUUAUUAGAGGAAGGAAACGAUCACUUGCUUUUGAGGAAUUAAGCUCCAUGAUGGCUUCCAGGAUUAUAGCGUAGGUGUCCAAAUUGCAGUAUUGAUAUCUGAUUUUCCAGCGAAAUUUUCGUCGAAAAAUUCAUUCCAACACAAUCAGCCACCCUUCAAUACCACAAAACCGCCAUCAAAACACCCGCAAUGGCCUCCACCUCAUUUUUUGGCGAGCUGCUUGGGGGACCAACUUCAAACAAUCAUCCACUUCACAAAAAAAUAAUUAUUUUUCUCUAUUUUUACAUACCUCGUCAUCAAUUUUCACUGACCAACAUCAAUUUUUGAUGUUGAAUUUUUUCACACAAAUUCAGUUUUAAUGUUGGGAAUUUUACCUUCGACUGAUGAGGAAAUUUUUUAAAAAAAUUACAGUAAAUUAUGGCUUCUCACUCUUCUAGUGGAGAGUGUAUUACACAAGUCAUGUCAUGUCAGCAAUUGUGCUUAAUUGAUACGGUUUGUGAAUGAUAAAAAGGUUCAAUAGGUACAUGACCUAAUUGAGGUGUCAAUAUGACAAAAGUCAAAAAGUUCAAGGAUCUAUCUAUGUAUUUUGCCCUAAAAAUAUGUAGUUAAACUUGUCUAUGAGUUCAAGAGAAUGUGUCUUAAUUUAACCUUUUUGUAGAUUCGUUUAUGAGUAGUUUUUAUGUUAAACAACAAUAGUCUAAGUAGCGCUUGGACAUGCAAUUUCAUCCCGUAAUUUAAUAUUAUGAGAUGAAAUCAACUUUUGAACAUGUAAUUUUACGUUGAUUUUAUGAGAUGAAAUCUCAAAUUCUCCAAAAAACUUUAUUUGAGAUUUCAUAUUAUAUUCAAAAAUUUCAAAUACAAAAAUUGAUUUACAAUUUUAUAUAUUGUAAAACAAAACAAAAAAACAACAACUCAUAAUUCAGAUCUAUCAACCAUCCAUUUCAUAUGUAAAUAAAAUUAUAGUUUAUAUAUUAAAUUAUUUAUAUCUCAUAUAAUCAUUAUUCUCACCAACAUAAAACUUAGGUCAAACACAUCGUCAGACCUCUCAAUUUGACACGAUCUUUCACUUUGGCACCUAAAGUGAACAUUGUUCAUUUUAAACACCUAAAUCAGCUAUCAACUGUGUCAUUAUGAUACCUUUUUGCAUCAGCUCUGAUGUGUGGGUUUCACUCGCUUUCAACAUGGAUUAAACGGUCAAUAAUUUGUGUCAACUCAUUUUAAAUCGCCACGUCAUUAUAUACCCCCAUUAUUAUUAUUAUUAUUAUUAUUAUUAUUAUUUUAAAAAAAAAAGACCAAAACACAUGGCAAGGCGUCCAAUAAAUCAAUGACACGUGAUUUUUUUUAAUCAAAUAAUUAUAAAAAAGUCCUCCACAACAUCUUCCUCAUCCAACCUUCUUUGAGCUUAACCUCUAUUAAUGGAGGUUGAAUUUUUCAAGAACAAUAAAUAUACCUCCUCAUUCUCUAAGGAUGAUUAAUUCACAUUGAUAGCUUCACGAAUUUUAGACAUAUGACUAAAAAAAUAUGGAGAAGAAGGAGCUCAGUGUUCAAUUAGAAAAUUAAUUAACGUCAGAAAACACAAAUACAAUUGGGAGUUGUUUGGAAGAAAAUAUAGAUAAUUUAAAGGACGAGUGCUUGGAAGUGAAUCUUAGACUAAAUUGUAUUCUAAUAAUGUUCUUUAAGAGUUAAUUAUCAUAUUAAUAUAAUAUUUUACUCUUUGUUUUUGAGUUAACAACUCAAUUUUAUCAUUUUUUUAAAGAGUUUGAGCUUGAAAAAAUGGUGGAAGAUAAUGGGAUGAAAAAAUGAGGAAGAAGAUAAAAUUAAAUAAAAACUGGGCUAAAAUAAGGUUGUCACGCGGCAAAACGCGAGUAUAGAACACUCACUUUGCCAUGCUAGCUAAAGGUGCCAAAAUUACACAGUUGGUGACUGAUUUAGGUAUUUAAAAUGAACAACGUCCACUUUUAGUAUCAAAGUGAAAGUUCAUGCCAAGUUGAAGGGUCUGACGAUGUGUUUGACCUAGAACUUAUUAUUAUCUCAAACCAACUCCCGCUUUACCAUUUAUUAUUCACUAAAUUCAUUAGUUUUUACCAGCAAACAACUCAAAUUAACAAUAAUUAAUUCGUCUUCUCGGUCAUUUGAUAGAAAUGCAAGCUCAAUGUGAGGAGAUUGUCCAUUCUAUGUGGAGAAAUUAUAUUAAAGAGGAGUACAUGUUCUAAUUUUUUUAGAAAUCUUCUUGAUAGUAUUAUACUUUUGUUAUAAAUUUUUUACUUAUUUGGUAAGAUUAUAUAAAAACUUGAGGUAAUUUUUAUAAUUUUCAACUGAUUUUUUUGUUGUUUACAAAAAAACAUGCAACAUAAAAAUCUAAAUUGCAUGUCCAAACAAAACCUCUAACUUAAUCUCAUAAUUUCAUCUCACAUGGUCAAACAGAUCCUAAAUUAGAAGUGAAAAUGUAGAAUUAAGAGUUGAAAAAGAGAAUCAAAUUGAAUGUCUCCAAGCUCUCGAUUCGCUUCCGAGGGUCAUAAACCUUCUCCGAGAAUAUAAAAUAAGAGCAAAUUAAAACAAAGAAAUAAUAUGUUGUUUUUUAAUAUGUUCUCAUCCAAGAUCCUUGCGAACGACGGCUAUUUUUUGAAUACAUGAAUGAGACUAUUAAUGAUAAAUUUUCUAUCAUACUCCAAAGUAUACAGACUAAUCAGAGCAUACUAUACGACCAUCUUAUUAUUUGUGUCAACCAAUAUUUCGUCACGCUCAGCUUCAUAUCGGGCUCGUCCGCACAACCGAGUCCUUUUAACACAUAUGUUCCCCUUGUGUUUCUUAUCUAUGUAAUAGGUACGUCGCUCGCAAAACAAUUCAAUCCCAUUUUUUUUAAGCAAAUCCACUAGGCGAGAUGCCCAAAGCUAGUUUUUUAUAUAUAUUAAAAGCAAAACUUAAAAGAAUAAGUACAAGUAAGGGGGUUAUGCCUUACCUUACUAGUCCUGUUGAGGCAUAACAAAACCUCUUUUCUAAUUAACAUACAUGUAAAAAAUAAGAAGAAGAAAGAACCAAAUAUUCUAUGAUCAUCACAGAGUUAAUAACCAACUCUAUGAUGAUAUUACAAAUGAUAGUACUUUAGUAAUGAAAGAUUAAAAUAUGCAAGAGUGUGGAGUCAGAUUCAUGUUUCUUUAAAAAUUGAAAAUCUUCAAGAAGAUGUAGCCCUAUAAAGAUUCGAUUCUUCACCUUGUCUUCUUCCUCCAACCAGUCUAAAAUAUCUUCAUAUUUCAUCAAUUCUUCUUGGUCUAUUGAAUUUUGUUGAUAUAAUUGAACCUUGUUUCCUUCUGUUUUGCCACCCUCAUUGAUAAUUGUCUUAGAAUAACCUCUUCAGACACUUUACCAUCCCAACUAUGUUUUCUUUCACGAGUCUUCCUUUUCGUGAAUCCUUUCCUUUGUUGUCUAGGUGAAAGAUCUCCAUCCCUAGCCGGUGAAAGAUCUCCACCCCUAUCCACUUUAGCAAAGCUUUCAUCCAAUGUUGCACCUAAUUUUUGCCCUCCGCAAUUCAAUUUUAUUUUGAGUUUCUUCAAUUUUAAAAUAAAACCACAACAAUUAUUUUGUUCAAAUAAAUGCUGAUUUAAAUUACUUAUUCAAUUCAAUUUUAUCAUUUAAUUAACGGUUAUACAUUUUUCGCAUUUUUAUAUAUACGAGAGUGUAUAAAUUUUGUUAUUUAAAUGAACAUUUUUAUCCAAAUUAGAUUUUUAUUGAUUGAACUUGAAAAUUAAUUCAAAUGGAUAAAAUCUUUGUUUUAACUAUAAUUUUCUAUCAAAAAUAAUUUAUUUGGAUAAAUGUUUGUUUAAUUUUAUCGAAUCAAGAAACUCAAGAUUAAACAAGGUAUCAAUUCGUAUCGAAUCUCAAUUAAAUUUAGUCCAUUUAUUAAAUUUAACUAUAAUUGAAAUCGAGUUGAUCACAAUUGCAAUGAAAUUGAUCAAAUUGAUAUCUAAUUUGGUCAACAUUUAAGUAAAAUUAGCUAAAAAUUAAUUUAAUUGACUAUUUUUUUUUAAAUUACCAAAUUUCUCCCCCUAUUUAUUUUACAUUGGGCCACAUAAAACUAUCAACAGUCCAUUCUUAACCAUACCAGCCCACCAAUUAGUUAAUCCGACCCGGCCCACCUCCCCACCUUCUUCAACAACGGCAGUUAACAACAGCUUCCAACAACAAUAACAACCGAUCUCCAACGUACAAACAACCAAAAAUGGCAUAUAACCCCAGCUUUCCAACGUCGACCCGACUUCUACCCGCGUGUGUUUGUUACGAAAAUCCAAGAAAACUUCUAGAAUUGGAUGAGUUGGCUCAUCCAACGUCCAUACUCCGCGAAUCUCGGAAUGACCGGUAUGAAUUCGUACGUUUUUUGCAAGUUUUCAUUGAUUGAGAUGAAAUUUCUUCCCUAUUGUUGCCUAUUCUAGAUUUGGGGAAGAAAAAUCCAAAAAAUUGAUACAAGAUUGAGGGGGUGAAAUCGAAGCGGGAAGGGAUGGAAAUUUUAAAUUUCAAAAUCUCCAUCGAAAAUCCCUAAUUUACCCCAAAAGGAAAACCCUAGCCGAUUCUCUAUAUAAAGGGUUGUUGAGCCGAAAGAACUAGGAUUUUUUGGGCUUCUUCUCUCCUCUUCUUUUCCUUCAGAGUUCGAAAUUUUAGAGGCCUUUGGUUUUUGUUUGGGGGUGGGGUUCAAAAUUUUAGGAGAAGAAAAAGGGUCUCAAAAGGGAAGAAAAAAGCUUUAAGCAGUAGGUUUUCUUCUAGUUAGAUUUCUUAAAGAGACGGUAAAUUUUUGAAGCAAAAGAAUUUCUGGUACUGGUUGCCAUUGCGAGAUUUUGGUGGUAGUGGAAAUUUCGUCGAAGCCUCGAGUCCCGUUUUGCUGCUCCCGAACAGGUAACAUCCCAUUCCUUUAGGCGUUCGAUUGCUUCUGCUUCAUCGCACUAUUCUUUAGUAGUACGUAAUUUGAGAUCAUUUUGUAUGCUAGGUUAUCUGCUGUAGAGGUCUUAAAGACCAUAGGUUGUUGUUCUGGUGAAAGGUGUUGAAUCUACUGUUAUGUUAGGAUUAAUCUAUGUUCGAAUUGUCGACUAUGUGGUUUCUAUCUUUUUUUUUUUAUUUUGGUGUCAUGAUCUGUCGUCCACUCUUGGUGUUACUGAGUAAUUUUUGGCCUAUGCUUCACUUGAUGUAUUGCUUGUGGUUGAAGGACAGAUUUAUUAGGCAAAGUCAGUUGCUUUGAUUGUAUUCAGUGGUUUUAGUCGGAUGAUGUUUGGCUCGUAGUUGUUAUUUGAUUGUGUUUGUCUGUUGUUAUUACUGGAUGGUGUUGCGAUUAUCGAUCUAGCGGCGUUUCUAGCAAAGCUACCUCUCAAAUUUCUUUGGCUUCUCAUGUACUAAAAGGACAAUGAAUAAGGUCCAAAACAUGCUAGAAAAUCCUACGAUUCCUCGACGACUAUUUUAUUUGAGUCUUUCGGAGUGAGGAGAAGGAUUGAAACAAUCUGUUGUUUUGCUCGUUGUCACUGUUUGUCGUUAUUGUAACUGUUGAACCGGUAAUGUUCCAUCCUUUAGUUUCCGUCUUCCAUGUUCUUUCUUUUUGUUAUUUCAUAGUUGCAGUAAUUUUCGUGUAGCUCUAUUUGCUGGACUGUUUGUUGCAAAAGCCUUAGAAGGCUAUAGGAUUUUCAAUCCACUUUUUGAUCGAGAAGUCAUCCUUAUUGGUUUGUUUUCAUCUUGUCGAAGAAGAUUUGAUUUGCUGGUUGUUUUGUUAUAUUGAUUUUUUUUUACUACCUCAUCCGUAUAAAUCAACAUUUCAUUUUGAAAAGCCUAUUUUUUCUGAGAUUAUAUGAUUACUUUGUUCAGUUUGACUGUAAGUUGUUGAUUUCCUUUUGCGCAGCUUUUGUUCGAAUUUAAUAGACCUUUGUGUAAUCCUAUGCUAGUUUAUUAUAGCCUGUAGCUGUCUUUUUGAUUUUCAUGUCAUUACUCAAGAUGACAUUUCUAUUUUGUGGGUGUUGGUUUUUGCCUGGGUUGACUCGUAUUUAAAGUUUGAAAUAUUGUCAUGUGAUCAAUGUUUUCUUUUCUCCCUGAUCGAUUAUUUUCUUACAUAGUUCCUCCUUUCUUCUAGUCAAAUGUCUAUCAUCUCGACCUUUCUAAUAAUUGGUUACCUUCUCUUUGUUUUGACGUUAUGCAUUAAUCUCUUUUUCUCCUAUAUCCAAAAUACUCUCUUACGAAGUUUGAAGUGUUCACUGUUAAGGUAUAGAAUUAAAAAAAAAUAUCUUCUUUCAUGAAGAUUCAAAGGCUCCAUAUGCGUAUGAGCAUGCUAUAUAUAUAUAUAUAUACACUCUGCAAUUUGCGUUGUGUCUUGAAUUGUGUUAAUGAAGGAUGGUUAUUGCCUCUAUUUCAGGCAUCUGUUUGUGCUAAUGAAUGUCUUUGAGAUCAUGCUUUAGGUGUUGAUUAAUUCUCUGUUGCGAUUGAGUGCCAUUAGAUGUAGAAUGUGUGAUUUCUCUGAGAAAAUUUUAUGUCAAAAUCUUAGUCUAAGUUUAAAUAUUUUCCAAGAACGAGCCUUUGUUUGGACUAAGAGCUUUCACCAGACUGUUUAUUGUCUUUCAAUUGGUCUUCUCAAACGGGGGCUUGUCUUAUCCCUACGUGCAUAAACAACUAUUCCAAAUUCAUCGUGAAGGUGUCAUAUGCUUUGCCUUUAUGUUUUUGGGAUCUGUUUUGCCAUUUUCGAAAACAAUGUCCUACUGACUAGUUAAGGUUUGUGUCAUGUUGUUCUUUAGUUAGUUAUUUAGUUAAUCAUGUAUUAGUUAUCUUUAUAUUUUCUUCCUUCUUUGUUUAAUCGCAGACCAACCUUUGUUAAUUUGCCUGCUUUGUUGAUUAUUUAAGAUCUGUACGUUGCCUUUUUUAGUUAAACCCGCAUUAGUUUUCUUUUAAUUUUUUCCUCUCUUUGAUUGAUCAUGUGUUAGUAGGCUUCCUUCACUUUAUUUUACUUUCUUCCCCCCUUCUUCCUUUGCUUGAUUAUAUACUAAUGUGUUUUAUUUUCCCUCUUUUGCAUGGAAAUCAUUUGAGUCCUAUAUGGACUUUUCCCUUUGUGGAUAUUCAUCAUGGGCCACUGAGGCCUACUAAGUCUAUUGAGUCAAGCUCGAAAGAGAAUCUAUCGCAUGACAUACGGACGCGAGGAGUCAAAAUAAGGAAAAUGGGUUAAAGUCCCAUCUUGGAAGAGGCAAAGGAGACUUGAAAGUCUCAUCUUUUUUAUUUACUUAUUCAUUGUUUCCUUCAUUUGUCUAUUUUAUCCAUUCAGUUUAUUUCUUUAUUCAUUCAUUCGGGCCACGAAGCCAAAAUUGUAUUUAAUAAAGGUGGAGCAAGAUUCGAGCCAAAUGCUCAAAAACUAGAUUAGGACAGGUGAAAUGGGUCAAAAACCCAACUAGAUUAGGACAGGGUCGACGAUUUGGGCUUGAAAGCCUAAAUCACUACUUCUCCCCUUUCCCCUUCCCCUUUCCUUUUUGCUUACUUGUUUUACGUGUGUUUUGCGAACCUAGUAAAAUCCUUAGUCUAGUCGCUAAAAAAUUGGUUUUGCAUAAACACCCAAAUAUCUCUAAAGUUGCUUUCUUUUCAAAAAAUAAACUUCUUUCAAAGUUAGUCAAAAGACGUUUUCAAACAGUCCGGAUAACCGCAAGUUAGCAGACGUUUUCGGUGCCUAACACCUUCCUAAAACGUUAAUAGGAACCGCUUACUCAGAAUCUCUAACUUAAACGAUUUUCCUGUUUUGAAUCGUCUAAGUAUUUUAUAAAGGUUUCUUAAUUCCUUUUCAAAAUUAAGUGGCGACUGUCAAAAAGUCAAAAUUUCCACAAAAUCUCCCUCAAACGCUUCCAUUAGAUCUUCUACCAAAUCUCCUGGCUCAUAACUCUUGGCCUGGAACCCUUUGGUGGGAUUAUCCAUAGCAUUCAAAGGUGCACUUGUUUGAGCCACAAGCUGUUCCGCGGCUAAAGAUGGAAGAACUAUUGCAUAGCUUGGCACAAAUUCUAAGGCUGCUGGACUCAACUUGCUAAACGUUGGAGGGGAUGAGACCUGCUUUUCCUCCUCUGCCAUAUCUGCCCAACUCUUUAUAUUGGUACCACCUUUUUGGUCAUUUUUGGCUUCAACCUUGUUGUUUGAAUGCGUCGGAGUUAAGACCACUACUCCAUCCACAUCUUGUUCAUUCCCCUUGAACAAUAAUUUAUGUCCAAAGUCAUCCCGUUACUCACCAAUUGACUCCAUAGAUGGAGAAGGAAUCUCACACGCCGAAGCAUCCAAUAUAGCCAUCAACGACUUCUAGAUAGGUACGGGAUAAAUCAAGCUUGAAACGUGUUGUUGCAUUAGCAUAUUUAUCACUUCUGGAAGUGCAAUUUGACAUUUUGGACUGCCCGAAUCAGAUUGGUGCUCAUUUUUAUCUAAAAGAGCCUCAAAGGUGUUAGAAUCCACAACAUCCUUUGUUGCAACACAUUGUUUCAUUUGCAACAUUAAGCUCUUUGCUAAUUUGAGGACUAACCAAUUGUUUGCGUGAAACCACUGUCCAACCCCCAUCUCCAACAUCAUCUCUAUUAUUGUUCAACUUCAUACCCUGCUUAGAAACCAUCAAACUCUUAGUCCUGACGCUUGUAUCCACAACACUAGGCAGAUUUUGAAGAGCUUUCUUUUCAACCUGUGCUCUUUCCGAUAAGUUUUCAGACACCCUAGCCAAAGCUUGACCUACUGGAAUAUCCCCAUGUUAACUCUAUUUUGUUGUUUCUCCUUAAUAUUUAGAUAAUCACGUUCAUCUCCUUGCAAUUUAUUCAAUCGAAGCUCCACCAAUCUCCAUUGUCGAAUCAUCUUUUUUUUGGAGCACUACUUUUUUUUCAAUUAACAAUCGACACUUCUUUUCAUCGUGACCCUGGUGCUUACAAUGGGUACAUAUUGAGGUAAAUUAUCAUACACCACCUCCUGAAACUCCUCAAUAAUUUUGCUCGUAACUUUGUUCACAUUUUGAAGUCGAAUACGAUCCGGAUGCUUGUCCAUUAAGUCAAGGAUGACUCUAACCCUAGCCGUGCUCGGUCUUGAUCUCACUUGUGUGGCCUUAUCCAUAGCAAUAGGUUUUUCAACUGCUGAAGCAAUGGAAAGCAAAGGCCUCUUAGCAAACAAAUCCGUCGACAAGUUUGGAAACGAAAUUCAUACUGCCGCACGUGAAGUCUCCUCCUUAGGGUUGAAUCCAAUAGACUACGAAAAAAAUCCUAAUCUGAUAUUUUUGCCAUUGUGCAUGAAAUAAUUCACACCUCUUGAUAGCCACAAAAUCAUCAUAUUGAUCCUUACGAAUAAGAAGUUGCCUUUGAGCAAGCAACCCGACAAGACAAUGUCCCUUAAUGCUGAGAAACUUGGGCAAAAUUGAUCUUUAAAUUGACAAAUCUGGUGAUCCCAUGGAUAAUUUAACUGCUAUGGCCGGCUUGAUGAAGUCCCUCCUCUUUGGGGAAAGCUUGUCGUUCAUCCAACGUAAAUUUUAACGUUGAGAUUCCAUGAACAACUUCAAUAGGUAUUAAACUAGUUUGUGAAAGAUUAAUAGUUGAUUGUGUUUGAUUUAACUUAUCAACAUAAUUAAAGUUUGUAUUGGUGUUUGUAGAUUUGUUUGUAGGGUUUUGGAGAAGCUCUCCCAGCCAAAGGCUGUGGAGAGACGGGUGGCAGCCAUAGGAUUUGUUUAUACUAUUGAUUACUUGAAUCACAAAAUUAAACUGGUCUAAUAUUUUUCCAAUCAACCGUACGUGAAAAUUUGAAAAUAUUUGUUUUGAAAAAUAUUUUUUAUCCUGCUUCAAUAUAAGAUUGGCCAGCAAUAUUACCAGGCCGAAACUGAAUAAUGCAUAUUUAAUGUUUAUCAUUCAUGCCUGAUUACACCACCUAUUCUAAAAGCACAAAACCAUCCACGUCAUCGAUCCGCACUUAACCACACUAUAAACCAAUCAAAACCGUCGAUUACGCACCCAUUCAAUUUGUAAGCCAACGGACACGAUCACCUCUCAUUCCUCCACGUCAUCGAUCCACCACACAAAACAAUCCCCAAAUCUCAUCCGUCCAUUUAAUCUCCAUUCAUCAACGGCCAAGAUCACUUAAAAAUUCCUUUAAAUUCUCCUUCCUCCCUCCAUUUCCAUCACACUCAAAAACUUCCUUCACACUCUUUAUACCAAAUCCCCUACGCCCUAAUCCCUAAUCCCCAAAUGGCUCGUACUAAGCAAACAGCCCGUAAAUCCACCGGAGGAAAAGCUCCAAGGAAGCAAUUAGCCACAAAAGCCGCCAGAAAAUCAGCUCCGGCGACCGGAGGAGUGAAGAAGCCUCACCGAUUCAGGCCAGGAACAGUGGCUCUUCGUGAGAUCCGUAAGUACCAGAAAUCAACCGAGCUGUUGAUCCGUAAGCUCCCGUUCCAGCGUUUGGUUCGUGAAAUUGCUCAGGACUUCAAAACCGAUCUCCGUUUCCAGAGUUCAGCAGUAGCUGCACUUCAGGAAGCUGCUGAAGCUUACCUUGUUGGUUUGUUUGAGGAUACUAAUUUGUGUGCCAUUCAUGCUAAGAGGGUUACUAUUAUGCCUAAGGAUAUUCAACUUGCUAGGAGAAUUAGGGGUGAGAGGGCUUAAAUGUGAUUCCAUGGUAGCUAUUUAGAUGUGGAAAAUCAUGGUCACCUUUGUAGUUUGGUAUAUGGUUGCUAGUGUUUUUCGGUGUAUUUUCGUUCGGAAUUUACUCAAUUCUGGAUAUGUAGUCGAAUCGAAAGUCUUAAUGGAU
rnacentral:lncRNA from 1 species